rnacentral:rRNA from 1 species
GACGAACCGUGCAAACGGUUGUUCGGAAUCACUGGGCUUAAAGGGCGCGUAGGCGGGCCAGCCAGUCUGUGGUGAAAGCCUCCAGCUUAACUGGACGAAGUGCCGUGGAUACUGCUGGCCUCGAGGAGGAUAGGGGCAUCGUGGAACGGUCGGUGGAGCGGUGAAAUGCGUUGAUAUCGACCGGAACUCCGGUGGCGAAGGCGAGGUGCUGGGUCCUUCUGACGCUGAUGCGCGAAAGCCAGGGGAGCAAAGCGGG